GUGAGGAAUAUUGGUCAAUGGGCGGGAGCCUGAACCAGCCAAGUCGCGUGAAGGAAGAAGGAUCUAUGGUUCGUAAACUUCUUUUGCAGGGGAAUAAAGUGCAGGACGUGUCCUGUUUUGUAUGUACCCUGAGAAUAAGGAUCAGCUAACUCCGUGCCAGCAGCCGCGGUAAUACGGAGGAUCCGAGCGUUAUCCGGAUUUAUUGGGUUUAAAGGGUGCGUAGGUGGUUUGAUAAGUCAGCGGUGAAAGUUUGCAGCUUAACUGUAAAAAUGCCGUUGAAACUGUCGGACUUGAGUGUAAAUGAGGUAGGCGGAAUGCGUGGUGUAGCGGUGAAAUGCAUAGAUAUCACGCAGAACUCCGAUUGCGAAGGCAGCUUACUAAGCUACAACUGACACUGAAGCACGAAAGCGUGGGGAUCAAACAGGAUUAGAUACCCUAGUAGUCC
rnacentral:rRNA from 1 species